CCAAUAGCGUAUAUUAAAGUUGUUGCAGUUAAAAAGCUCGUAGUUGAAUUUUAGGCCUGGCCGGGCGGUCCGUCUUUGGCGAGUACUGUCCUGUGUCGGGUCUACCUUCUGGUGAACCAGUAUGUCCUUUAUUGGGUGUGCCGGGGAGCCAGGACCAUUACCUUGAAAAAAUUAGAGUGUUUAAAGCAGGCAUUUGCUUGAAUAGAUUAGCAUGGAAUAAUAGAAUAGGACGUUGUGGUUCUAUUUUGUUGGUUUCUAGGACCACCGUAAUGAUUAAUAGGGAUAGUUGGGGGCAUUAGUAUUCAAUUGUCAGAGGUGAAAUUCUUGGAUUUAUUGAAGACUAACUAUUGCGAAAGCAUUUGCCAAGGAUGUUUUCAUUAAUCAAGAACGAAAGUUAGGGGAUCGAAGACGAUCAGAUACCGUCGUAGUCUUAACCAUAAACUAUGCCGACUAGGAAUCGGGCGACGUUAUUUUCAUGACUCGCUCGGCGCCUUAUG
rnacentral:rRNA from 1 species